AGGUGCAUGGUCUAGUGGUAUGAUUUUCGCUUCGCAUGUGAAAGGUCCCCGGUUCGAUCCCGGGUGCAUCCA
rnacentral:tRNA from 1 species